rnacentral:lncRNA from 1 species
AAAUGACGAACACAGAGGAAAGAAGAGAGGCAACUGCUGAGGUCCCCUAGGCCUUUGAGAAAACGGAGUUGUACCUUUGGCAACAUAAGUGCAUAUCUACAAGAAAGGCGAUAAUGUAGACACCAAGGGAAUGGGUACUGUCCAAAAAGAAAUGCCUCACAAAUGUCACCAUGGCAAAACUAAAAGAGUCUACAAAGUUACCUAGCAUGCUGUUGGCAUCAUUGUAAACAAACAAGUUAAGGGCAAGAUUCUUGCCAAGAGAAUUAAUAUGCAUAUUGGGCAUAUUAAGCACUCUAAGAGCCAAGAUGAUUUCCUGAAAGUGUGUGAAGGAAAAUAACCAGCAUAAAGAGGGAAGCUAAAGAGAAACCUGAAGCUGCAGCCUGUUCCACCCAGAGAAGCACACUUUGUAAGAACCAAUGAAAAGGAGCCUGAGCUGCUGGAGUCUAUUAACUGAAUUCAUGGU